CCACACUCCGUGCUGUGGUUUUCCCUGAGAACUGGCUGUAAGGUAAUGCUCUGAGAUCAGUCCUUCCAGCUCCCAACUCGAAGAUCCACAAACUCCAGGCUCCCAGGGGUUUUGAACUGCCAGUUAUGAUGAAAUAUUAGCACAGAAGAAAAUAAGUUUUUUUCUAUUUUGGUUUUCUAAUCAGGACAGCAUGAUUACAGGAUGAUUUAUGUACUGACGCUGGGUCUGCUCUCCAGAACUGUGUUUUAUGUCAACGGUUGAGAUUCCUGCUCCUUGGACACAGUGGGGAUAUUUUGAUCCUGGAACAUCAGGCAGCAUGUGGCUUUGUUCAGCUGGAUUCCUGGCUGCAAGGAUGGAUGUGCAUUCACCGGCCUAUUUUGUCGGGUGAUGAUAGCCCCAGACAAUGGUCACCUCAGCAUUUAAUUUCUCAUCUCUGCCUAUUAACAGGGCAUCUCAAUCAGCAGGGAGCCUGACUGGAGUCUUCCGCCUUGUCCCAUGUUGAACUUUCUCCCCUGUUCUUCCCACAGGAGCAGAAAUCCUGAAGGCCUCUGCCGGCUUCCGAUGGAGGGUCCAGAGGCUUGUACCUUCAGCCCAUUCUUUACUUGUUUUUAUUCUAUUUUGCAUUCACAGAGAUGUUUUUGGUGGGUUUGCGGCCAGCUAUGUGGGUUUUUUUCCUACCUGGCAGGACUAAUGGUUUUCCCUAUACUCUGACUCUCUGUAGAUCAUGCCCCUGUUUAUAACAUCUCAAGGUGUCCCUAUUGAAGUUGAGUGGAAGUGCAUUACCAGACAUGUAAAGACCCUUGUUCACCCAGACUCUGCCCUCCAUUUAUAUGGAGUUGUUUUUAAUUCUCCAAAUAUGUCUUGCUUCCUCUCACCACCAGGCUCACUCAGGCUGUUUGUCCAUCUGAUAUAAUUUCAAUUCUCUGUCUUAUUUGUACUUAAUUCUCCUGAUCUUUCUCAUCUCCCUCUAACAUCACUUCCUCUCCUCUUCCUCCUUCCAUGUACUUUUAUUCUCCUACCCUACUCCCCAUAUGAUAACACUUAUCUCAUUUCCUUUUUCAUCAAUCUUUCCUCCUACACUGAGGCUUCUUAUGAGUACGGCUCACGUCUCACUCAUUUGGUCCUUAACCGCUGCACCCAGCAAAUCAUAGACACCCAGCAAAUAUUAGGAGAAUGAAUAAAUGAAAGGAGAUGCAAUUCUCCCAUUCAUCCAUUCCUUCCUUGCUGUCCAGAGGUAGCCCUGAUUUACAUGUAACAUAGAGGAAAGAAUCAUUCUCUCA
rnacentral:lncRNA from 1 species